rnacentral:sRNA from 1 species
UAUUGUUUACAACACCUUGUGAUCAAGGAAAAACUUUCAAAGAUAUUCCUGCUCAUAUGUAGCCCCAAAGUUUGAAUGUUUCUGGCAUUAUAUAUACUAGUGUGUUUGGCUCUAAUCCACUUAAGUGAUUUGAUGAUAAUAACUUGAUAUUAUUACUUAACAGAAUAUUGAAUACUAUAUUAGUAUAAAGUGUUAUUUAGUAUACAUAGUACAUUCAUUAGUUAUAUCUAAAGAGAGAUAAUUCAGUUUCCCCAUUGUAGAAUAUUGCAAUUGACGUCUUUUUCCUCUAUUGAUUUUAUUUGAAUGUAUAAAGAUGUAAUUCUUUAACAAGUACACAUUAUGCAUAUGAACAAUAAAGCUGAUGAAACUAUCAGCACGCCAAUUGUGUCUUUAUAUGUAUACAAAUGUAUUGUUAAAUUAAAUAUGUCUUCUAAUUAU